rnacentral:rRNA from 1 species
UACGUAGGGUGCGAGCGUUGUCCGGAUUUAUUGGGCGUAAAGAGCGUGUAGGCGGCCAAACAGGUCAGCUGUGAAAACUCGAGGCUCAACCUCGAGACGUCGGUUGAAACCGUUUGGCUAGAGUCCGGAAGAGGAGAGUGGAAUUCCCGGUGUAGCGGUGAAAUGCGCAGAUAUCGGGAGGAACACCGGUGGCGAAGGCGGUUCUCUGGGCCUGUACUGACGCUGAGGAGCGAAAGCGUGGGGAGCGAACAGG